CCUGCGACCGGCGGACGGGUGCGUAACGCGUAUGUAACCUACCUUUGACAGGGGGAUAACAUCGAGAAAUUGGUACUAAUACCCCAUAACAUCACCGGAGGCAUCUUCGGUGGUUGAAAACUCAGGUGGUCAGAGAUGGACAUGCGUUGUAUUAGCUAGUUGGUGAGGUAACGGCUCACCAAGGCGACGAUACAUAGGGGGACUGAGAGGUCAACCCCCCACAUUGGUACUGAGACACGGACCAAACUCCUACGGAAGGCAGCAG
rnacentral:rRNA from 1 species